GACGGUAGCCAGUGUUGGGAAAAACGGGACGGGGCCGAGCGAGCCGGCAGGCUGCCUCGGAACCCGCCGAAGAUAAGAACCAUGAACGAGGGAAAGAAACAGACUCGUCACCCGUCGCUCGAUCGCGCCCGCAGAGGGAAACAUCCUGUAAGCUGCAGAACGAAGAGCUGUGCUACAGACCGAAUCUUAAGGGAAAAAUGACCCACCAAUCGUUUGGCUCUAAGUUCCCUCCAAAGAAACUCUGGCUGCAGUGUGGAAAAUGGAUGGGAAGAAAGCAAGUCUAGAUACAGGGAUAUGAGGACUAUCCCUUCUUACUGUUGGAAGAUGCUGCAAAUGCCUCUCUCCCAUGACAACGAGUGUCCCCUUCAAGAAUGUGCCUACCCUCUCUCCAGGUUGUCAAGCAGUAUAACAAAGAGAAUCCAGUCCUCCUGAGAGCAUCUGAGAAAUCUUCACAAUGAAGGCAAUAUUUUAAAUGAAUCUUGAAGUCUAAGGCAAAGAGAAGA